ACCAGUGCUACAUUCAUAGGAGCAGUUUGCAAGUAAGGGGGGUGUAUAGAUACAAUCAAAGAAUAAAUAAGACCACAGACUGAAAGAAUCUCAAACUACCGGCAUCUG